CUAUGUCAACAAACCCCACACUGCAUCUCUCUCUCUUCUGUGUGUGAAAAUCCACCUCUUUCCAUUCUCUAAAAACUCUCUUCCAAUUUCUCUCUCCACUCAAACCCUUUCAAUCUCAUCCUUCAGAUCAGAUCUCCGCCCCAUUUGGCCCGAAUCCGGCCGUCCAUCUCCAUAAGUAUCCCCACUAAACAACCCAUCUCUCUCUCUAUAAACAUCAUCUCUCUCUACCUUCCUCUAAAAACCUCUUCUCUCUCUAAAAUCCAGCUUGCCAGUGAGAAUCCCAUCUAAACCCAUGCCCGCUGAAAACUCACGCUCCUCUUAGCUCCGUUUCUUUUCCCUUUCUCUUUCUCUCUCUAAGUUUUGGCCCUUCAUUUUUUUUGAAAACAUUACUCUUUUAUUUUCCCAUUUUUUUUACUUUUUUGGAGCGUUCUCUCUCUCUCUUUCCGUGUAGACUUGCUGACGUGGAAUAAGGCGUCGAUAGACCG
rnacentral:lncRNA from 1 species